rnacentral:ribozyme from 1 species
CGCCAGCAACUCCUAUCCCUACCUCCUCGCGGUACUGGCCGGGGUACGAGUAACCUUGGGGAAGAUCGGGUAACCAACCCCCGGUGGGAACUUUGGUCGUAUGCUGACAGGGAAGG